rnacentral:rRNA from 1 species
UACGGGGGGGGCAAGCGUUGUUCGGAAUUACUGGGCGUAAAGGGCUCGUAGGCGGCCAACUAAGUCAGACGUGAAAUCCCUCGGCUUAACCGGGGAACUGCGUCUGAUACUGGAUGGCUUGAGUUUGGGAGAGGGAUGCGGAAUUCCAGGUGUAGCGGUGAAAUGCGUAGAUAUCUGGAGGAACACCUGCGGCGAAGGCGGGUUGCUGGGCUGACACUGACGCUGAGGCGCGAAAGCCAGGGGAGCGAACGGG